rnacentral:lncRNA from 1 species
GAAUUGUUCUACUUUAGCAUUAUUCCUCAUAAACUUUGCCACACAGCAAAGCCUCCUUCAUCCUUGCCUUCUUCCUCCCUCCUUGCCUUCUUCUUUAUUCCUAAUGAUCGAAUUUAUUAUCUUUUAUCUCCACAUGAUGUUUCGUCUUCCCACGUAUUCAUUUCUUAAUUAAUAUGUUCAUAUUUAUUGUCAUCUAAGCAAACUAAUUCUAUAAAAGAAACAAAUAACAUAAGAUAUGUAUUGCUGUGAUUAAAGAGGAGCUCGACGGUAACAAUUGUGGCGAAUGAGAAGUGGGAAUCAGGAUUCGCCUUCCCGAUAUCGACAGCGCAAUUAAGGUGUAUAUGGAGUAGUGUUCUAUUACUAUUUUUUUUAUUAUAAAUUUUGUUAUAUUUGUUUCAUAUCUUUUAUUUAUAUUGAUUGAUUUCUAAUGAUAAGUGAAAAAAGUUUAAAAUAUUUUACUUUGUUAAUUUUCUAUCUCUUACAGCAUCAUCCCGCCGCAAUGCGCGGGUAACUUCACUAUUAAUAUAAUAAUAACUCGCGUGCAUUAAUUGU